UGCUGUGGGGUUCUAUGGGGUGGGUUAUGGGGCGCUAUGGGGGUUAUGGGGCGCUAUGGGGGCGCUAUGGGCUGUGGGGUGCAAUGGGGGCUCUGGGGUCUCUUUGGGGUCUCGGGGGUCACUUUUGGGGACUUUUUUGGGCUUUUUGGGCGUCACUUUGGGGUUUUUGGGGUCACUUUUGGGGAGUUUUUGGGCUUUUGGGGGGUCUCGGGCCUCUGGGGCUUUUUGGAGAUUUUUUUGGGGCUUUUGGGUCUGGGGGCUUUGGGGGUCCCUUUUGGGGCCUCUUUGGGGCUUUUGGGGUCACUUUUGGGGAGUUUUUGGGCUUUUUGGGGUCACUUUGAAGUUUUUGGGGUCUGGGGGCUUUUUGGGCGUCACUUUGGGGCUUUUGGGGUCUCUUUUGGGGACUUUUUGGGGUUUUGGGGAGUCUCGGGCCUGUGGGUUUUUUUGGGGAUUUUUUUGGGGAUUUUUUUGGGUUUUUUUGGGGUUUUUUUAACUUUUGGGGGUCCCUUUUUGAGGGUCCCCCCACUGACUGACCCCUCUCCCCUCCCCCACAGCGCUGUGUGCCCCUCCCCCCAUGGGGGCCGCCCCCACCCCCACCCCUGCCCCUCCCCCACCCCGGCGCUGCGGCCCCACCGCCCCUCCCCCACCGCCCUCCCCUCCCCCACCCCCGGAGCUGCCACCGGACUGCGACGAGAGGGCAUCGGGGACACCUCUGGGGACAUCGGGGACAUCUCUGGGGACAUCGGGGACACCCUUGGGGACACCGGGGACAUCGUUGGGGACAUCUCUGGGGACAUCAGGGACAUCGGGGACACCUCUGGGGACAUCCCUGGGGGCGGCCCCAGGGACCCCCAACUGCUCCAGGGACGUCCCGGUGGCGGACGCGGCGCUGGUGGCCCCCGGUGGGGACAUCGCGGUGGAGGGGACAGAAGAUCCGAGUGCCACCGGUGACCCCAGGGAUGCUCUGGGACGUGUCACUGAAGCCUAUGGAGAUGCCACCACCAUGGUGGCCGCUGUCGCCACGUCCCCAGGAGGGGACCGAGCUCUGGUGGGCACCACUGGGGAUGUCACCAUGGAGGGGACGGCCCAGCCCAGUGCCACCAACUGCUCCUGGGACACUUUGGGACGCGUCCCUGAGGUCCCUGGAGAUGCCACCAUCACGUCGGCCUCUGUCCCAGUGUCCUCAGGAGGUGACAAAGUGCUGGAAGUCACAAGUGGGGACGUGGCAAUAGAGGAGACAGCCCAGCCCGAUGUCACCGGUGACCCCAGGGACACUCUGGGAUUCAUCACUGAAGCCUAUGGAGAUGCCACCACCAUGGUGGCCACUGUCACCACAUCCCCAGGAAGUGACAAAAUCCUGGUGGCCACCCAGGGUGACAUCGAGGUGGAGGGGACAGAAGAUCCAGGUGCCACCGGUGACCCCAGGGACAGUUCGGGACACGUCACUGAAGCCUACGGAGAUGCCACCACCACGAUGGCCUCUGUCCCAGUGUCCUCAGGAAGUGACAAGAUGCUGGUGGCCCCUGGAGAGGAUGUGGCCAUGGAGGGGACAGCCCAGCCCGGAGCCACCAACUGCUCCUGGGACACUUUGGGACGCGUCCCUGAAGUCCCUGGAGAUGCCACCACCACGGUGGCCUCUGUCCCAGUGUCCCCAGGAUGUGACAAAGCCCUGGAGGCCACCAGUGGGGACGUGGCCAUGGAGGUGACAGAAGAUCCGAGUGUCACCAGUGACCCCAGGGACACUUUGGGACGCGUCAGCGAAGCCUACGGAGAUGCCACCACCAUGGUGGCCACUGUCACCGUGUCCCCAGGAGGUGACAAAGCCCCGGUGGCCACCAGCGCUGACGUCGCCAUGGAGGUGACGGCCCCGCCCGGUGCCACCAACACCUCCGGGGACCCUCUGGGACGCGCCCCCGACGUCCCCCCCGGUGCCACCACCCCCGUCCCCAACGCCAUCAUGGUGGCCCCGGGCGGUGACGUCGCGGUGGGCGGCCCCGCCCCUCCCCCACCCUGCCACGCCCACUCCUUCCCCGUCACCGCCGCCGCCCCUCCCCCCCCCGGCCCCCCCGGCCUCUCGGGCUCCGCCCCUUCCUCCUCGCCCCUCCCCCUCCUCCUCCUCCUCCUGCUGCCCCUCCCCCUCCUCCUGCCCUGACCGCCCCUCCCCCCCUUAUUUAUUGCCCCUCCCCCCCACCAGAAUAAAGCUCGAAGCUGAUUGGUCAGUUCCGUGUGGUGUCCGCCUGUGGGGGGAGGGGCUCUCCGGGACCCUCCCCCACCCCCUCCCCCACCCC
rnacentral:lncRNA from 1 species